rnacentral:lncRNA from 1 species
UUAAAUCAUCCUUCAUCCACUGGACAACAAGCUCCUAUCGCUGUGCAUCUCUGUUAAAUGGAGGGAACACCACCAGGUGAUGGACAUCAGGGCCAACCUUGGGUGAGCUGAUCCUGGAGGUGUUACCGCACUUCACACCUCCAAGCUCUCACUGUGUUAGCAGCUCACCUGUGACUUGAGGCAAAUGUCAGAGAAGCUUCUUUGCUAAUCUGACAGAUCUUUUUGAAUAAGUUCAGCUCCUGGAUUUCAUUUAUCUGCAGUGGGUAGUCAGCAUUCCCUUAAAUGUAUUGAAAAAAUCCUAAAUCCACAAAGAAAAUGUCCCUCUAAAAUGACAUUUAAGAUGGACGGGAAAAAAGAAAAAGAAAGCAGAUCAACCUUUGCUGUAAGCUCAUCAAUGCAGUUGCUCCAGAUUAGUACUGAUAUAACUGGAAUCUGCACCCCGCCCACAUAAGAAAUCUGUAAUUAGCAGGUGGGAGAUCACACACGGUUCUGUGGAAAUUUUACAUGUAUUUUAAAAAGAAAGUCUGCAAUGGAUUAGAGCUACUUGAUUCCUAUUCUGGGUUGUUCCCAACAGUGCUUUUGCGAAGUUAUGUUUUUUCUUCUCCACCCUGCAGAUUUCAGUUGUGUGAAGGAAGCAUCACAGCUUCCUCUGCAAUGCAUGGUGAAGCAGCAGUGGCUGCUGCUGGUCCUGAUCUGCAGGUCCUGCUGCUCUUGAGGAGCCAUCCCUCCGUGGGGCUUUAUGUCUGGAAGUGUGCCAUUUAUGGAGGGGCUGAUGGAACUUGGCUGGUUUGGGCAGAGCUCCCACUUUUCUCAGGAGAGGAAGACAGCUUCACAGUGCAUCGCAGAAAUUUAGCAGUCCCACACUCCCAUCGCAAAGACACAUGAAAGACAUUUGUAACAAAGGUAGGAAAAGGAAGAAGGGAUUAUUGAUCUAAUGUCUGGGCUCGUAACAUGGGCUGGAGGGGGGAAUGCAAUUCAAAUGUAUGAAAACGAGACUUUGGGGGUGGCUGGGGCAACCAAUGUCACCCUCAGAUGAAGAUGUCCUGAUGCAGAGCUGCUGAGGACUACAGAUGGAGAGGGGUGAAGCCCUGUUGACAGAUUCAUGCUUGAGGAACCAGAACACCCCCCAGCACUCACAGCUCAUCAUCAGGUGGUCCACAGCACAGGCUGUGGGUAGGUGUAGUGGCUAGGCUGGCCAUAAGGGUCUCUAGCUGCCUACAUUAAAGCCAUCUAUAUGAUUUGUUGGUCAUUCAGAUUUAGCUAAAGAAUAAAAGGGAGUGGCUGGAAAUUUUUUCUGCCA